GACGAACGCUGGCGGCGUGCUUAACACAUGCCAGUCGAACGGAAAGGCCCCUUUGGGGGUACUCGAGUGGCGAACGGGUGAGUAACACGUGAGUAACCUGCCCUUGACUUCGGGAUAACUUCAGGAAACUGGGGCUAAUACCGGAUAGGAAUCCUUGCUGCAUGGUGGGGGUUGGAAAGCUUCGGCGGUUUUGGAUGGACUCGCGGCUUAUCAGCUUGUUGGUGGGGUAGUGGCUUACCAAGGCUUUGACGGGUAGCCGGCCUGAGAGGGCGACCGGCCACAUUGGGACUGAGAUACGGCCCAGACUCCUACGGGAGGCAGCAGUGGGGAAUAUUGCACAAUGGGCGGAAGCCUGAUGCAGCAACGCCGCGGGCGGGAGGACGGCCUUCGGGUUGUAAACCGCUUUCAGCAGGGGCGAAGCUUGUGGUGACGGUACCUGCAGAAGAAGCACCGGCUAACUACGUG
rnacentral:rRNA from 1 species